GAUGAACGCUAGCUACAGGCUUAACACAUGCAAGUCGAGGGGCAGCAUUAUCGAAGCUUGCUUUGAUAGAUGGCGACCGGCGCACGGGUGAGUAACGCGUAUCCAACCUUCCCCAUAGUCAGGAAUAGCCCGGCGAAAGUCGAAUUAAUGCCUGAUGUUUUCCACGGACGGCAUCCGAUGUGGAACAAAGAUUGAUCGCUAUGGGAUGGGGAUGCGUCUGAUUAGCUUGUUGGCGGGUAACGGCCCACCAAGGCAACGAUCGAGUAGGGGUUCUGAGAGGAAGGUCCCCCACAUUGGAACUGAGACACGGUCCAAAAUCCUACGGGAGGCAGCAGUG
rnacentral:rRNA from 1 species